UACGAAGGGGGCUAGCGUUGCUCGGAUUGACUGGGCGUAAAGGGCGCGUAGGCGGUUCGUACAGUCAGACGUGAAAUUCCUGGGCUCAACCUGGGGUCUGCGUUUGAUACGUGCGGACUUGAGUGCGGAAGAGGGUCGUGGAAUUCCCAGUGUAGAGGUGAAAUUCGUAGAUAUUGGGAAGAACACCGGUGGCGAAGGCGGCGACCUGGUCCGAUACUGACGCUGAGGCGCGAAAGCGUGGGGAGCAAACGGG
rnacentral:rRNA from 1 species